rnacentral:rRNA from 1 species
AGCGAACGCUGGCGGCAGGCCUAACACAUGCAAGUCGAGCGGAGCGAGGGUGCUUGCACCUUAGCUUAGCGGCGGACGGGUGAGUAAUGCUUAGGAAUCUGCCUAUUAGUGGGGGACAACAUUCCGAAAGGGAUGCUAAUACCGCAUACGCCCUACGGGGGAAAGCAGGGGAUCUUCGGACCUUGCGCUAAUAGAUGAGCCUAAGUCGGAUUAGCUAGUUGGUGGGUAAAGGCUUACCAAGGCGACGAUCUGUAGCGGGUCUGAGAGGAUGAUCCGCCACACUGGGACUGAGACACGGCCCAGACUCCUACGGGAGGCAGCAGUGGGGAAUAUUGGACAAUGGGCGGAAGCCUGAUCCAGCCAUGCCGCGUGUGUGAAGAAGGCCUUUUGGUUGUAAAGCACUUUAAGCGAGGAGGAGGCUACUAGUAUUAAUACUACUGGAUAGUGGACGUUACUCGCAGAAUAAGCACCGGCUAACUCUGUGCCAGCCGCCGCCGUAAUAC